rnacentral:rRNA from 1 species
GACGAACCGUGCGAACGUUGUUCGGAAUCACUGGGCUUAAAGGGCGCGUAGGCGGGCGUGCAAGUCAGGGGUGAAAUCCUCCGGCUCAACCGGAGAACAGCUUUUGAUACUGCACGCCUCGAGGGGGGUAGGGGCAUGUGGAACUUCCGGUGGAGCGGUGAAAUGCGUAGAUAUCGGAAGGAACGCCGGUGGCGAAAGCGACGUGCUGGACCCCUUCUGACGCUGAGGCGCGAAAGCGUGGGGAGCGAACAGG